rnacentral:rRNA from 1 species
UUUGCGCAAUGGACGAAAGUCUGACGCAGCAACGCCGCGUGGGUGAUGAAGGUCUUCGGAUUGUAAAACCCUGUCGCCGGGGACGAAGGUGGUUCAGUGAAUAGCUGAGUCGCUUGACGGUACCCGGAGAGGAAGUCCCGGCUAACUCCGUGCCAGCAGCCGCGGUAAUACGAAGGGGGCUAGCGUUGCUCGGAAUCACUGGGCGUAAAGCGCACGUAGGCGGCUUUUUAAGUCAGGGGUGAAAUCCUGGAGCUCAACUCCAGAACUGCCUUUGAUACUGAGAAGCUUGAGUCCGGGAGAGGUGAGUGGAACUGCGAGUGUAGAGGUGAAAUUCGUAGAUAUUCGGAAGAACACCAGUGGCGAAGGCGACUUACUGGACACAUAUUGACGCUGAGGUGCGAAAGCGUGGGGAGCAAAC